UGACUAGCUAGCACUAGACAUGAGGUUCAAGUUCAAUUCUAGAGAUGAACAAGAUUUGAUCUAUGAUCCAAGGAGUUUAUGAGAGAUUAGAUUUAAGUGUUAAUUAAUUUUAAAUUAGAUUUAAUUUAAUUAAACUUAAUUGAAUUAAAAAAUUCAAGUUAGACUUGAUCCUAAAUCCUAAGCAGUUUAAGAUUGACAGCCUUUUUGAAAUUAUUUCGAAUCAGAUUUGAAUUAGAUUCAAAUUGACCCAUAUUUGGAUUAGAUCCUUAGAGUCCAUUUUUAUCGAAAAUCUCUCUAUUCAUGGCCGACCA
rnacentral:lncRNA from 1 species